rnacentral:rRNA from 1 species
AUGUGGAGAGGCCGAACACGUUCCCCCAGUCUACAACGCCUCGCUGAUUCCCUGAAACAUCUUCAAGGGGUACUCGAACCGUGGGGUGUAAAGGAGUUUGGGGGUUUAACUCGCAAAGUUCGUCAGUUGCAGAAACGUUUGGACAAACUUCGGACGUGUUCAGUUGGACGUGUCCCCAAUGACGAGGAAAGGAGUAUUGCCCAAAAGCUACGUGAAGCAUUACAUCGAGAAGAGAUCUGGGCCCGCCAGCGCUCGCGGAUUCCUUGGCUACGAGAUGGCGACCGUAAUACAGGAUAUUUUCAUGCUCAGGCAGCUCAAAGGAAAAGGAUCAACAAAAUGCAGGGCCUAAUGCGUCCAGAUGGCUCGUUUUGCAUGAAUGAAAGUGAAGAUAAGUACGUUCCUGUCAAAAUCUCUGAGGAGAUGAAUAGGGAACUUACGAAACCUUUUACACCAGCAGAGGUACGGAAAGCUUUAUUCCAGAUGGCGCCUACAAAGGCUCCUGGAGUAGACGGGUACACAGCUGGGUUCUUUCAGCGACACUGGGCACUUGUUGGCGAUGAUGUGACUCAGGUUGUGCUUGAUUUUUUGAAUGGAGGCGAAUUAUCGGCGGGGCUCAAUGAUACUUCUAUAACACUUAUCCCUAAGGUAGAGGCCUUCAAUGAGAGAUACUUGGGUCUACCCACUGCGGUGGGGAGGAUCACUAGCGACACCUUUGAGUAUAUCAGUGAUAAGGCGAAAGGAAAAAUACAAGGGUGGUCUGAGAAGCUCCUUGCUUGCACAGGUAGAGAAACCUUGUUGAAAUCAGUUGUGCAAGCAAUUCAGACCUACCCGAUGAGUACUUUCCUCUUCACCAAGAAGCCGGAUUCCUUGUGUGCAAGAGUGAUGAAAGGUAGAUAUUUCCUGGACACCGACUUCAUGCAAGCAACAUGUCCCCGAUCAGCGUCGGCUACUUGGCGGGCAAUUAUUGCAGGAAGAGAAACACUUGAUGCUGGUCUUAUAAAACGAGUUGGGGAUGGAACUUCUAUCUCAGUUUGGGACGAUAAAUGGAUUCCAGGAACGAGCUCCAUGAAACCGAUGGUGAGACCAGCCAACACCACUGUUGACAGAGUUGCAGAUUUACUGGAUCCACAGAUUGGUAGAUGGAAUGAAUCGUUGGUUCAUGACACGUUCAUUGCAACUGAUGCACAGGCAAUUCUUAAUAUUCCUUUAAGCAUGAACGGGCGUGCGGACUCCCUUGCGUGGGCGUUUGAGCGAUCAGGCUUAUACACUGUUAAAUCAGCGUACCGUAUUCUUAUGACUCAGAAAGAGAGUGCAGCUCUCGACGAAGGAACGGCUACGGAAACUUCAAAUGAAGAAAAACAUAUGUGGAAGGCUCUGUGGAAGCUCAAUGUUGUUCCUAAACGGAUCACGGACAAAGAUCGGCCCAUCAUUAUCACCAUCAUGUGGAACAUUUGGCAUUCUAGGAAUCGGGUGAAGCAUGAUGGUGCAGCUCUUGAUCCGGUGACUAUAGCAAGACGUACGAGAGAAGUGAUGGCAAUCCUUGAGCUACCAAGGAAGGAGCCGGUGGUAUUACCUGGCCACGGCUGGCGACCGCCGGAGCAAGGCAUCAUCAAGAUCUCAACGGAUGAGGCACUGAACUUUGAAGAAGGCCGAGGAGGAGGUGGGGGCGUUGCUCGCACAAAUACCUCUUUGCUUGCGGCAUGGUGCAAACCUCAUCCAGGAAAUUUCGGACCCUUUCAUCAUGGAAGCUAUUGCUAUACAUGA